rnacentral:lncRNA from 1 species
CACGUGGAAAGGAAGAAGCAAGUGUGUACGGAGAAAGGAUGGACCCAAUAUUAGCAUUCCAUGUUUGCCUCUCUGUCUUCCAUUUCUACAGGUGAAUAUUAAUGAGCAGCGGUACCUGGGCUCCUCGGCACUUUAAUUACAGGAUUUCACACAAAAAGGUACCAGCAUUAUACAUUGCGAUCUUGCUGUGAAGCAAACAGUCCAUCGUAUUGCACGCCAAGCCCCUAAGAAAACCAAUGAACCCAGAUUAUGCUAAAUUGUGUGUAAGCAAAGAAGAAAACAUGGUGCCUUCCUCGGCAAGCUUACUCUGUGCAUGUAAAAGAGAACCAUC